AAAGUCGUAACAAGGUAACCGUAGGUGAACCUGCGGUUGGAUCAUUAACGAAUGUAUCCGGCUUUGGCCGUGUGUCUAUUCUCUCGGGAAUAGGCACAUCCUACCCACCUUUUGUGAACUGUGUUAUUCAACUUUUUUCUAUUAUUAUCUGUCUUACAUUUUAAGUAUUUAAAUAUACAAACAACUUUUGGCAACGGAUCUCUUGGCUCUC
rnacentral:misc_RNA from 1 species